rnacentral:lncRNA from 1 species
UACAAGAGGAUGAAAUUCUAGCAUUUCCUAAACUCUAGCAUUCUCACAAUAUCUCUGUCUAUUGCAGAUAGGCCUAAGGACCUGAGGAUAACUAACUGAGAUGUAGACAUUGGUGCUGUAUGGAUGAAUUCCACUUUCAUUUUUUUGGCAUGGAGAUGAUGUUAUAACUGCAACUGAAAGAACCACCUAUUUACAGUGGCUAAAAACUGGACAACUGGUCCUGUGAAAACUGRGCAUGGACAACCUACCUCUGUGUAUGACAUGUGUAGUCCAAUGACAG